rnacentral:lncRNA from 1 species
CAUCUUGGCUCCUCCGCUCUAUUUGCAGUUCUUAAAGGUAAGGCUAUCAGCUUUUCUUCAUUCAGUACGUUGUUAGCUGUGGGUGUAUCAUGUAUGGACUUUAUUAGGUUGAGGCAUGUUCCUUCUAUGCCUAGUUUGUUGGGCAUUUUUGUCAUAAAAGGAUGUUGAAUUUUAUUAGAUGCUUUUUCUGUGUCUAUGAAGAUGAUAAUAUGAUUUUUGUUCUUUGUUCUGUUGAUGUGAUGUAGCACAUUUAUUGAUUUGCAUAUGGUAACCAUCCUUGCAUCCCUGAGGUAAAUCCCACUUGAUCACAAUGUAUUAUCUUUUUGAUAUGCUCUUAGAUUUGAUUUGCUAGUAUUUUGUUGAGAUUGUUCACAUCUAUGUUCAUGAGUAAUGUUGGCCUGAAGGUUUUUGUUGUUGUUAUUCCUUGUUUGGUUUUGGUAUCAAAGUAAUGCUGGUUUCAUAGGAUGAGUUAGGAAGAAUUCCUUCCUCUUCUAUUUUUUGGAAUAGCUUGAGGAGAAUUGGCAUUAGUUCUUUUUUAUCUGUAAAUUUUGUAGAAUUCAGCAAUGUAGCCAUCAGGUUCUGGGCUUUUCUUUGCUGGGAGACUGUUUAUUACCGUUUUAAUCUCAUUACUUUUUAUUAGUCUGUUUCUAUUUCUUCCCGAUUCAAUUUUGGUAGGUUGUAGGUGUCCAGGAAUUUACUCAUUUUCUCUAGGUUUUCCAGUUUGUUAGUGUGUAGUUCUACUCAUAGUAGUCUCUAAUGAUGAUUUGUAUUUUUGUGGUAUCAGUUGUAAUGUUUCCUUUUUCAUUUCUGAUUUUGUUUGUUUGGGUCUUCUUUCUUUUUUUCUUGGUUAGUCUAGCUAAUUGCUUAUCAAUUUUGUUUAUCUUUAAAAAAACACUUUUCAUUUCGUUGAUCCUUUGUAUUUUUUUUGUCUCUGUUUUGUUUAGUUCUGCUCUGAUUUUAUUAUUUAUUUCCGUCUACUAUAGUAAUUUUGGGUUUGGUUUAUUCUUGCUUUUCUAGUUCCUUGAAGUGCAUUGUUAGGUUGUUUAUUUGAAAUCUUUCUACUUUUUGAUCUCUACUGUAUUUGCAACAGGUAUCAGAGUUGGGUAGGGAAAAAUAGAUUAUUUAUUCAUUUUUCAAGGGUGGGCCUGUCACAUAUUCUGAGUACCUUGGUGUCAUCAUGACUUCAUCAGCCAUACCUUUCUUGAUUCUUCAUGUUCAUCUUGACCUCCAGACCUUUAACUUUAAAAAAAAAAUUGUGUGUCCAUUUCUGGCUCCACCUGACUCCAGGCAAAUCCCCAGCUCUUGGCAUCCCUUGCUGUUCACUUUCUCUGCUCCUGCUUUCUUCCCUGCCAAACUUCUUGAGAGUGCAACUUGCACUGGCUGUCUCAGUUUCCUGUUUUCUGACAUCUCUUUAAUCCAUGACCACUUCUCUUACAUUCUGGAAGGUCACAGAGACUUCCAAAGGCUAACACCCAAUAGAUCUUUACGUCAGAGCUUAUUCUGCCUGACUUAUUUACGUAAUGUACCGUAGUUCCCCAACUCUACUCAAGUUUGUAUCCCUCCUCUUUCAUGAUACUAUAUGACCUCCUCCCAUAUCUCUAACUGUUCUUGCUCUGAAUUGUUCACAGCAUUUUUUUGUUUUUUUGGUGUGGGGGAAGCAGAGUUCACUCCCAGGCUCUUGAAUCUGGCAUCACCCAGGAAAGGAGACUUACAUGGUAGUAUGGUGAUACGGUUUUGUUCUGUGUCCCCACUCAAACCUCAUCUCAAAUUGUAAUCCCCACCUGUUGAAGGAGGGAGGUGAUUGGAUCAUGGGGCGGUUUUCCCCAUGCUGUUCUCAUGAUACUGAGUCAGCUGUCAUGAAAUCUGAUGGUUUUAUAAGCCUCUGGCAUUUCCCCUGCCUGCACUUAUCUCUCCUCCUGCCAUGUGAAGAAGGUGCUUUCUUCCCCUUCACCUUCCACCAUGAUUGUUAGUUUCCUGAGACCUCCCCAGCCAUGAGGAACUGUGAGUCAAUUAAACCUCUUUCCUUUAUGAUUUACCCAGUCUCGGGUAUUUCUUUAUAGCAGUGUGAAAACGAACUAAUACAUAUGGUUAUUUGUGGGCUUCCCAUGCUAGGUUGUAUAUAUCUCGAAACAGAGAUUUUUGCCUUACUUAAUGUUGUAUCUGUCACAGUUAUUGAAUAAUGCUUUCUAUUAUUUCUUUAAAAAGUUAUUUGGUUCUCUUCAUCCUAACCGUGGAAGUGCAUUUCUAAUCUGAAUACAUAAGUCACUGAGGGAAAAAUAGCAUUCAAUGUAGUAUGCAGAAAUUUGCUUUAUAGUCAUAUUUUUAGGAUUUUACUUAUUAUUUAACAGCACUACUAACAUAAAACAAUAUAUAAAUCAGUUUACAUCAGAGAGUGAUGCCUAGUUCUUCUGAGUUAGAAAGCUGUAUCUUAUUUUCUAAACCAACAAAUUGUCCUCUCAACUUUGUAUCUGCGCUUGACAUCUUACCCAUUCUUCUGGUUCAGCUCAAAUGAUGUACCACACUGUAUUACGGAUUCUUUUCUAACUACCCGUUAGUUGAAAACUUUUGCCUCCUUCAAAUUUUGUAUAGUCAUUAUUUUCUCUCUGAUGACACAAUCAUGUUAUAAUUAUUUUCAUACUUCCCAUCUUCUACUUUCCAAGUUUCAUGAUAUCAAGAUCAAUAGUUCACCUUUCAUGGGGGGUUUGGGAUCUUCUCUAGCUUCCUCCAGCUGGCUCUAUAUACUGCAUGUCUUAGGUCUCUGAUAAGUGUUUUAAAAUUUAGAUCAAAUGGACAGAUUUUGAAAGACAAGCUUGGAAUUGAAUCAUAAUUUGGGAAGAGGGAACAACUAAUUAAGUGCAACACCAAAACCACCUGCAGAAGAUGGGAUGAAAAAGACCAUUUUUAGGUGGUAUCUCUUCUCUCCUUGGGGCUAAAAGCUCAAGCAAAAAGCUCAUGAAAACCCCUAAGAAUGAGCCACCUGGAAAACCAAGCCUUCCAGGUUGGGGACCUCCUUUGAGCAUCUAAAUGAAAUCUUAGCUAUUUCUUGAAAUCUCAGUAUUUCUUGGGACUGAAAGAAAGGGUAGAAAACAAUUUGGUGAGAACUUUUCAAAGACAUUUAGAAGUUCUGCUUAUAGCCUUAAUUUAAGACCCAGGACACUCUCAUGCUGCUUCAAACUUCCCUUCCCCGAAACCAGGUCCUUACCUUGUUUAGAGCAUAAACAUAAUUAAAGGAAAGAAAAACAAUCCAUUAACACCUCUUCAAGGACUCCUUGAAACAAAAAAGAACCAAAUUCCCUCUUUGCUCUCAGUCUGAUCAAAAGAUUUUCCUUCUUAUUUGAAACAGAGAGGAUCAUCCAUCUUUCCUUAAAAUAUGGACAUUUUUUAAGAUUCUUAGGCUGAAGGUCAGUUUGGAAUAUCAGAUAGAUACAGCAAACCAGCCCAGAUAAGAGUUUCCAAAGCUAUUCAUCACUUGAAUAAAAGCCAAGCAAGCAGGUAUUGAUCCUAAUCCUGAGGACAGGUUGAAAGAAGCAGGUACGGUCACAAUAAAGUGGUUACUCAAGCAUCUGAAAGAGAUGAGACUGUAAUGAAGCAGGAGACAUGCGGGAAAUGGAAAUCAUUAUGUCACAGAUAGAAAAGACACUCAUCAGACAAGUCAAGUAUGACCUGAAAAGCCAUGUUAUAUCACCCAAACCAGGGAAAAGCCAUUAUAUCACCCAAACUGGGGAAAUCAAAAUGGAACUCAGUGGGCUUGGGUUUGUGGGCAGAGAAGAUCCUUAACCAGGGUAAGUCAGGGAUGAGGAUUCUACUCCAAGACUAUGGAAGUGAUAUCAUGUUGAUGACAGCCACAGCCAGAUUGUGGGCCUCCCAUUCAUGUUCAGGUCCUUGUUCUCCAGGCUACACUCUGUCCUGGUUCUCCCUUUACCUUUUGAGAUGGUUCUAUAAAGAUACGCUACAGUUUAAAAUUCCUGCUUGCCCCCAUACCCUGCUCACUUUACAUGUUUUCCUGGACUUAUAACGUCUGGGAGUGUGUACCAAGGGCAAAUCUCAGCACACAAACUCACAUGUGAAAAAAAUAGGUAGCUUUCUUGAUUUUUCUAUAACUUAAUUUCUGUUUUGCAUCACCAUUCUACUGAAGUGGCAAAAAAUUUGAUUUCAAUCAUUUAUUUUUCAGCCUAGGGUUUCUCCUUCCCAGACAAAAAUGUCUGUAAAACUGUCUAAGAGCCUGCCCAACCUACACUCAUAAUGCAGCACCUCUUUGUGGCUGCUGCAGAGCUCACCUCUCUAGGGCCAACCAGCAUCUAUAUUUCCAACAUUUCCCUUCCCUCUACCUGUGGUCUCUCAAUAUAGCCAGGACACAUUAUUUCUGGUCUCCAAAUUGUUUGAGGUAGGAGACGGAGAAGAGUGAGCAUGUUCCUUAAACUCUCAAAUAUGAUUUACUAAAACCUUAAAUUUUUUGUGUUCCUUUCAGCACAUAAGCUAUUGAAAUACAAAACCCCAGAAGAAUAUCUGAGGAUGGCUGCUUUCUGUCCUGUCUGAGGGAUGAGCCCAGGGCAAGGUUCAAAUGGGGCAGGUGCCAAAGGGCAAGGAAGUGGUUGGGCAGUGCAUGGUGUGGGUGUGGAGGUGCACGUUGGCUAAUACUCCCCAAAUGAUAUCCUAUAGCAACAGCUGCAGAAGCCAACAGUGUUUGAACCCAGCCCAUGGAUCUGUUUGUGACUCCUGUCAUACUGUAGUUCACAUCUGGUGUUAUUAUUAAGGAUAACUAGCCUUCUUUUACCUUUCCCCUUUUUGACUUCCCUGAGAGAAGCCACCCAUUGCCAGUCCCCUGCCCCGUCGAGCUCUGCUCUUCCUCUCUCUCCCUCCACAAACUCUUGCAAUGACUGUUUUCUUCUUUAUACUGAUCAUAUGUUUGCUCUAGAGUAAUAGAGGAUGUCACUGUUGAUGGCUACAUUUCUAAUACAUAAAUCCCACAUCUCAUGUAUCAUUUCUAUCAGACACUGUGACGUUCCACAUAAGGCAUUAUUCUGGAAACCGGAAGUUUGCCUGCUUUAAGUUGCACAUCUUUAACAAAGUUAUAGUUUUUUGUGCUUAUAAGGCACAUUUUCAUUGUGGUAAAACAUAUAUAAUAUAACAUUACCAUUUUAACUAUUUUAAGUGUAUAAUUCAGUUGCAGUAAGUAUAGUCACAUUGUUGUACGGCCGUCACCACUGUCAAUCUCUAGAAUUUUUUAUCAGCCCAAAAAGAAACUCUGUUUCCUCCCUCCGGGCCCUGGUAACCACAGUUCUACUUUAUGUUUAUGAAUUUGACUACCCUAGGAACCUCGCAUAAGUGGAAUCGUAUAAUAUUUAUCCUUUUGUAUCUGGCUUAUUUCACUUAGCAUAAUGUUUUCAAUGUUCAUCCAUGUAGCAUUUGUCAAAAUUUCCUUCCUUUUUAAAAGGAAUAAUAUUUAAUUGUAUAUAUAAAUUACAUUUUGUUUGUGUAUUCAUUCCUUCAUAGACAUUUGAGUUGUUUCCACCUUUUGGCUAUUGUGAGUAAUGCUGCUAUGAUCACGAGUGUGAGUGUACACAUAUCUGUUCAAGUCCUGCUUUCAGGUCCUUUGGGUAUAUACCUAGAAGUGGAAUUGCUGGACCAUGUAGUAAUUUUGUAUUUAAUUUUCUGAGGAACUGCCACACUAUUUUCUACAGCCGCGUAUUCAUUCUACAUUUCCAACCGUAAUGCACAAGGGUUAUGAUUUUUCUACAUCUUCACCAAUAUUUGCUAUUUUCUAUUUUGUUUUGUUUUGUGACAGCCAUCCUAAUGGAUGUGAAAUGGUAUCCCACUGUGGCUCUGAUCUGUAUUUCCCUAAUGAAUAAGCAUCUUUUCAUGUGCUUAUUGGCCAUUUGUAUAUCUUCUUUGGAGAAAUGUCUAUGCAAGUCUUUGCCCGCUUUUAAAUUGGGUUAUUUUUGUUGUUGUUGUUGAGUUGGAGUUUUUAAUACACUCUAGAUAUUAAUUUCUUAUCAAAUAUGUAAUUUACAAAUAUUUUCUCCCAUUUUAUCGGUUGCUGUUUGACUUUUUUGAUAGUGUCCUUUAAUGCACAAAAGUUUUUAACUUUGAUGAAGUACAAUUUACUUAUUUUUUCUUCUAUGGUCUAUGCUUUUGGUGUUAUAUCCAAGAAACUAUUGCCAAAUCCAAUGUCAUGAAGGCUUAUCCCUAUGUUUUCUUCUAACGGUUUUACAGUUUUAGCUCUUAUAUUUAGAUCUUUGAUCUAUUUGAGUUAAUUUUUUGCAUAUGCUUUAAGGUAAGGGCCCAACUUCAUUCUUUUGCAUGUGGAUAUCCAGUUUUCUCAGCACCAUUUGUCAAAAAAUAUUUUUAGAUAUUUAAAAUGUCUAUUACACAUGAUUCUGCUAUUUUAAACAGUAUGUAGAAGAUGGCAAACAUUUUCUCGAGAGUUCUUGGUCACCGCUAGGAUCAUUAACACUUGUUCCAUGUUGUCUUACAGGAAGUCUCCCAGGGGCUUUUCUAUACUGCUACCCUUGGACUGCUGGGAUUCAUUUAUCCUUCUCUAGUUUUGCAUGGCUUUGUUUGCUCUUUUUUGUCAUCAAACUGUUGACUGUCAAACUCUGAGCUAUUAUGUCUUCCUCAUAGGAGUGCACCCUCUUCAUUUGUUUCUAUAGAAACAAAACUGAUAGCCAAACUUAACAGAAAUUGUAUAUAAACUUAAAGCCAAUAUUCUCUAAGAAAAGAUCUAGAGGAUUCAUGAAUAAGACAAAGGGAAUUAUGUUUAGUUAAAGGAGAGCUAUUGACUUUGCUAAGAAGUUGCUGUCAUCUAUGUUGAAGUCUUUGUCUGAUGUCUGUGUAGUUGGGUAUUACUCCUUGGUGUGUUAGUAAAUGUCUAAAAACUAGCUUUCAGGGGUGGUGGUGGAGGUCUUGAUUUAGAGCAGUUGCUGAUUUCCAUGGUGUAAAUACUCCAAGUAUGGCCAAUUUUAAACUACGCUAUGCUAUCACUGCAUGUAGAAUUGAGAAGAGAUGUGCAAUGGAGUGUCAUUUUUCACCACAUUGCUACCGUAGUCAUAAAUAACAUAGAUAAUAGUAAAACAAUUAGAAGUUAAGCAUUUUGAGUAUUUAUUACCUUUAUUAUUAUUUUUUAAAGCUACUCAUGUAUUUGAAAACUUAUUUAGAAUGUUUUACAUAUUCAUAUGUAGAAAUACAAAAGAUGAAGUGAAAAGGUUAAUAUCACAAAUACAUGACAUAUAUAGCAACAUAUUAUAUAAUAUAAAGGAUAUAUUG